CCUACGGGAGGCAGCAGUGGGGAAUAUUGGGCAAUGGGCGCAAGCCUGACCCAGCAACGCCGCGUGAAGGAAGAAGGCUUUCGGGUUGUAAACUUCUUUUCUGUGGGACGAACAAAUGACGGUACCCCAGGCAUAAGCCACGGCUAACUACGUGCCAGCAGCCGCGGUAAUACGUAGGUGGCAAGCGUUAUCCGGAUUUAUUGGGUGUAACGGGCGUGUCGGCGGGAAGGCAAGUCAGAUGUGAAAACUCAGGGCUCAACCCUGGGCCUGCAUUUGAAACUGUGUUUCUUGAGUGCUGGAGAGGCAAGCGGAAUUCCGGGUGUAGAGGUGAAAUGCGUAGAUAUACGGAGGAACACCAGUGGCGAAGGCGGACUGCUGGACAGUAACUGACGCUGAGGCGCGAAAGCGUGGGGAGCAAACAGGAUUAGAUACCCCGGUAGUC
rnacentral:rRNA from 1 species